rnacentral:rRNA from 1 species
GACGAACGCUGGCGGCGUGCCUAAUACAUGCAAGUAGAACGCACAGUUUAUACCGUAGCUUGCUACACCAUAGACUGUGAGUUGCGAACGGGUGAGUAACGCGUAGGUAACCUGCCUGGUAGCGGGGGAUAACUAUUGGAAACGAUAGCUAAUACCGCAUAAUAUUAAUUAUUGCAUGAUAAUUGAUUGAAAGAUGCAACUGCAUCACUACCAGAUGGACCUGCGUUGUAUUAGCUAGUAGGUGAGGUAACGGCUCACCUAGGCGACGAUACAUAGCCGACCUGAGAGGGUGAUCGGCCACACUGGGACUGAGACACGGCCCAGACUCCUACGGGAGGCAGCAGUAGGGAAUCUUCGGCAAUGGACGAAAGUCUGACCGAGCAACGCCGCGUGAGUGAAGAAGGUUUUCGGAUCGUAAAGCUCUGUUGUAAGAGAAGAACGGGUGUGAGAGUGGAAAGUUCACACUGUGACGAUAUCUUACCAGAAAGGGACGGCUAACUACGU